AUGAACGCUAGCGACAGGCUUAACACAUGCAAGUCGAGGGGCAGCACAGGUAGCAAUACCGGGUGGCGACCGGCGCACGGGUGAGUAACGCGUAUGCAACUUGCCUAUCAGAGGGGGAUAACCCGGCGAAAGUCGGACUAAUACCGCAUGAAGCAGGGGCCCCGCAUGGGGAUAUUUGCUAAAGAUUCAUCGCUGAUAGAUAGGCAUGCGUUCCAUUAGGCAGUUGGCGGGGUAACGGCCCACCAAACCGACGAUGGAUAGGGGUUCUGAGAGGAAGGUCCCCCACAUUGGUACUGAGACACGGACCAAACUCCUACGGGAGGCAGCAGUGAGGAAUAUUGGUCAAUGGCCGAGAGGCUGAACCAGCCAAGUCGCGUGAGGGAUGAAGGUUCUAUGGAUCGUAAACCUCUUUUAUAAGGGAAUAAAGUGCGGGACGUGUCCCGUUUUGUAUGUACCUUAUGAAUAAGGAUCGGCUAACUCCGUGCCAGCAGCCGCGGUAAUACGGAGGAUCCGAGCGUUAUCCGGAUUUAUUGGGUUUAAGGGGUGCGUAGGCGGCCUUUUAAGUCAGCGGUGAAAGUCUGUGGCUCAACCAUAGAAUUGCCGUUGAAACUGGGGGGCUUGAGUAUGUUUGAGGCAGGCGGAAUGCGUGGUGUAGCGGUGAAAUGCAUAGAUAUCACGCAGAACCCCGAUUGCGAAGGCAGCCUGCCAAGCCAUUACUGACGCUGAUGCACGAAAGCGUGGGGAUCAAACAGGAUUAGAUACCCUGGUAGUCCACGCAGUAAACGAUGAUCACUAGCUGUUUGCGAUACACUGUAAGCGGCACAGCGAAAGCGUUAAGUGAUCCACCUGGGGAGUACGCCGGCAACGGUGAAACUCAAAGGAAUUGACGGGGGCCCGCACAAGCGGAGGAACAUGUGGUUUAAUUCGAUGAUACGCGAGGAACCUUACCCGGGUUUGAACGCAUUCGGACCGAGGUGGAAACACCUUUUCUAGCAAUAGCCGUUUGCGAGGUGCUGCAUGGUUGUCGUCAGCUCGUGCCGUGAGGUGUCGGCUUAAGUGCCAUAACGAGCGCAACCCUUAUCUUUAGUUACUAACAGGUCAUGCUGAGGACUCUAGAGAGACUGCCGUCGUAAGAUGUGAGGAAGGUGGGGAUGACGUCAAAUCAGCACGGCCCUUACAUCCGGGGCGACACACGUGUUACAAUGGCGUGGACAAAGGGAAGCCACCUGGCGACAGGGAGCGAAUCCCCAAACCACGUCUCAGUUCGGAUCGGAGUCUGCAACCCGACUCCGUGAAGCUGGAUUCGCUAGUAAUCGCGCAUCAGCCAUGGCGCGGUGAAUACGUUCCCGGGCCUUGUACACACCGCCCGUCACACCAUGAGAGUUGGGAAUACCCGAAGCCUGUGAGCCAACUGUAAAGAGGCAGCAGUCGAAGGUAGAAUCAAUGAUUGGGGUG
rnacentral:rRNA from 1 species